UACAGGGGGUGCAAACGUUGCUCGGAAUCAUUGGGCGUAAAGCGCACGUAGGCGGUUCGUUAUGUCGGAUGUGAAAGCCCUCGGCUCAACUGAGGAAGUGCAUCCGAAACUGGCAGGCUAGAGUACUAAAGAGGGUCGCGGAAUUCCCGGUGUAGAGGUGAAAUUCGUAGAUAUCGGGAGGAACACCGGUGGCGAAGGCGGCGACCUGGGUAGAUACUGACGCUGAGGUGCGAAAGCGUGGGGAGCGAACAGG
rnacentral:rRNA from 1 species